UACGGAGGGUGCAAGCGUUAUCCGGAAUCAUUGGGUUAAAGGGUCCGCAGGCGGUCUAAUAAGUCAGUGGUGAAAGCCUACAGCUCAACUGGUAGAACUGCCAUUGAUACUGUUAGACUUGAAUUCGGUCGAAGUGGGCGGAAUGUGACAUGUAGCGGUGAAAUGCUUAGAUAUGUCACAGAACACCGAUAGCGAAGGCAGCUCACUAGGC
rnacentral:rRNA from 1 species